GAAUCACCCUGAUGGUUCCUUUCCUUUAUCAGCCUCCAUGAAAUGGUGCCACCUAAGAACAGCAGAUUUCACACCGAGAUUCUCCUCUUCGACAGUGAGAAAACAUGUGGAUUUGCUGCCCACUACUGUCUGCUAAGAAGAAAGGAGGAAAACACUUGCUUGCUAACACAAUAAUCACCUGCUUGCUGAUAUAGGAAAAGGCAGAUGAGAAAAACUGGGCCCUUCUCUCUGAACUCAGAGAACGCAUCUCACAGCUUGAGGCAGAGAACUGUAACCUGCACUUUGAGAAGAACCAGCUGGAGUCCACAAGCCAACGCUUUCGAAAGGAGUUGGAUGCCCAUGGUGUCACUGUUCUGUCGCUGAGCAGGCAAUUGAGAGGGCAGCAGGAGGCUGAGGCCCACCAUGGGGCCUUCUCUCUCGAAAGCGUCAAGGGCAGUGCCAAGUGACUGAGGUUCUACAUGGGUUGCGAUGGGUACCCCCGCCUCAUAGCCUUUAUGGACUUCCUUCUCGAUAGUGAAGGGGAGCAGGCCAGCCAAGACAAUAGCCUCCGCAGUGCCCUCAGCCCUGAAAAUCAGCUGUUCUUGGUCCUUGUCCGCUUACGCCUGGGACUACUUCUCCAGGACCCGGCCUUCCGUUUCCACAUCUCUGAAUCCACAGCCUCCCGCUAUUGGCUCAGCUGGAUAGAGAUCAUGGAGAGGAGGAUGAGACAGAUUCCAAUUGCCUACAGCCAGCAUUACGUAGACACUUUGAAGCCACAGCGGAUACUCAGCAAUCAAGACAUGCCCUUGGUGGCUCUGGAUUAUGCAGAGCUCCUUUUUGAAGCCCAAGGAAGAAAACAAGGCGAAAGUUAUGGUCCCCGGGGUCCUAGGAUCCGCUACUCUGUAUGUGGGUAUGCUCUGGCUGCUCCCAGUGGCUUUCUAACCUUUGGUGCUGGAGCAGGUGAGGGCUACCCACCUUGCCUCCAUUCCUGCAGGCAAGACCUGUGGAGCUGA
rnacentral:lncRNA from 1 species